UACAGAGGGGGCAAGCGUUAUUCGGAAUUAUUGGGCGUAAAGGGCGCGUAGGCGGCCGGACAUGUGGAAGGUGAAAUCCCCGAGCUCAACUCGGGAACUGCCCUCCAAACUGUUUGGCUUGAGUCCGGGAGAGGUGAGUGGAAUUCCCAGUGUAGCGGUGAAAUGCGUAGAUAUUGGGAGGAACACCAGUGGCGAAGGCGGCUCACUGGACCGGAACUGACGCUGAGGCGCGAAAGCGUGGGGAGCAAACAGG
rnacentral:rRNA from 1 species